UUUAAAUUGUGUAGGGGAGACCCUGUCACGAAUUGUAGUUUGAUGAGGUGAACUUGGUGGCAGCCUGGGUCUAAAUCUCUUGGAAAAGGGUAUCAUAGAGGGUGACAAUCCCGUCUAUGGCUCAGUCUGCUGUCCACCGUGUAAGUCGCCUUCAAAGAGUCGGGUUGUUUGGGAAUGCAGCCCUAAGCGGGUGGUAAAUUCCAUCUAAAGCUAAAUAUUCGUGAGAGACCGAUAGCGAACAAGUACCGUGAGGGAAAGUUGAAAAGCACUCUGGAGAGAGAGUCAAACAGUACGUGAAAUUGUUAACAGGGAAACGUUAGGCACCAGUACGCGCCUCACGUAGAAUCAUCCAUCGACCAAGGGCUUGCCCGGGACUAGUGAGUCUAACCAACCAUUACUCUGGGCGUACCCGAGGGAGGCGGUGCUCUUCUGCGUGGGCGGGUCAACAUCAGUUAGGAUCGUCGUAAACGGCUUGGGGGAAGGUAGACACGGAUUUCGGUCUGUGUAACUUAUAGCCCUCAUGUCCUACGGUGGUCUUGACUGUGGAGUCGCAAUCCGUGCUUUCCUUGUGGAGGCAGGCCCCAUUGUCUAUUACUUCCCUCUUGGCCUUGGCAGCUUGCUGACUGGGUCGGGGUAAGGGAGGUAAUAGUGCGGUGUAAGGCUCUAACGGGUUACGGACGUUGGCGAAAUGGUUCUUAACGACCCGUCUUGAAACACGGACCAAGGAGUCUAACAUGUGUGCGAGUAUUUGGGUGCAAAACCCAUAUGCAUAAUGAAAGUAACAUCACUAAGGGAAGACGCCUGUGCCCUCCGGGGUGUGGGCCGCAUUCCCGACCGAUCCGCUUGCCCUCGUGGCGACGGGUUUGAGUAUGAGCAUACCUGUUAGGACCCGAAAGAUGGUGAACUAUGCCUGAGUAGGAUGAAGCCAGAGGAAACUCUGGUGGAGGUCCGUAGCGAUUCUGACGUGCAAAUCGAUCGUCGAACUUGGGUAUAGGGGCGAAAGACUAAUCGAACCAUCUAGUAGCUGGUUCCCGCCGAAGUUUCCCUCAGGAUAGCAGAAACGUUUGACAGUAUUAUGAGGUAAAGCGAAUGAUUAGAGGCCUUGGGGGCGGAAUGCCCUUAACCUAUUCUCAAACUUUAAAUAUGUAAGAGGUCCUUGUUACUUAAUUGAACUUGGGCAUUUGUAUGUACGUUUCUAGUGGGCCAUUUUUGGUAAGCAGAACUGGCGAUGUGGGAUGAACCAGACGGGAGGUUAAGGUGCCGGAAUGUACGCUCAUGUAGACACCACAAAAGGUGUUGGUUCAUCUAGACAGCAGGACGGUGGCCAUGGAAGUCGGAAUCCGCUAAGGAGUGUGUAACAACUCACCUGCCGAAUGAACUAGCCCUGAAAAUGGAUGGCGCUCAAGCGUACUACCCAAACCUCCCCGCCAA
rnacentral:rRNA from 1 species